UACAGAGGUCUCAAGCGUUGUUCGGAUUCAUUGGGCGUAAAGGGUGCGUAGGCGGCGCGGUAAGUCGGGUGUGAAAUCUCGGAGCUUAACUCCGAAACUGCAUUCGAUACUGCCGUGCUUGAGGACUGGAGAGGAGACUGGAAUUUACGGUGUAGCGGUGAAAUGCGUAGAUAUCGUAAGGAAGACCAGUGGCGAAGGCGGGUCUCUGGACAGUUCCUGACGCUGAGGCACGAAAGCCAGGGGAGCAAACGGG
rnacentral:rRNA from 1 species